rnacentral:rRNA from 1 species
CGGACGGGUGAGUAACACGUGGAUAACCUACCUAUAAGACUGGGAUAACUUCGGGAAACCGGAGCUAAUACCGGAUAAUAUAUUGAACCGCAUGGUUCAAUGUGAAAGACGGUUUUGCUGUCACUUAUAGAUGGAUCCGCGCCGCAUUAGCUAGUUGGUAAGGUAACGGCUUACCAAGGCAACGAUGCGUAGCCGACCUGAGAGGGUGAUCGGCCACACUGGAACUGAGACACGGUCCAGACUCCUACGGGAGGCAGCAGUG